rnacentral:rRNA from 1 species
CAGUAGCCGCGGGAACACGUAGGUGGCAAGCGUUGUCCGGAAUUAUUGGGCGUAAAGGGCUCGCAGGCGGUUUCUUAAGUCUGAUGUGAAAGCCCCCGGCUCAACCGGGGAGGGUCAUUGGAAACUGGGAAACUUGAGUGCAGAAGAGGAGAGUGGAAUUCCACGUGUAGCGGUGAAAUGCGUAGAGAUGUGGAGGAACACCAGUGGCGAAGGCGACUCUUUGGUCUGUAACUGACGCUGAGGAGCGAAAGCGUGGGGAGCGAACAGGAUUAGAUACCCCCGUAGUCCCUGUCUCUUAUAC